rnacentral:rRNA from 2 species
AGAAACGGGAAAACGCCACAAAAGCAAAAAAGAGGAGAACGUAAGGAAAAGAGCAGAACAAAGCAAAUAUAAGGAAAGAAAAAUGAAGGAAUCAAAUAAGAGGUGCAGCAGGCGCGAAACCUUUCACUGCACGUCAGUGCGAUAAGGGGAUCCCUAGUGCGACGGCAUAGCGCCCUCGCUUUCUGUACCGUAAGGAGGUACAAGAUAAGGGCUGGGCAAGACCGGUGCCAGCCGCCGCGGUAAUACCGGCAGCCCGAGUGAUGGCCGAUAUUAUUGGGCCUAAAGCGUCCGUAGCCGGCCGGGCAAGUCCAUCGGGAAAUCCACCCGCUCAACGCGUGGGCGUCCGGUGGAAACUGCCUGGCUUGGGACCGGAAGACGCGAGGGGUACGUCCGGGGUAGGAGUGAAAUCCCGUAAUCCUGGACGGACCGCCGGUGGCGAAAGCGCUUCGCGAGGACGGAUCCGACGGUGAGGGACGAAAGCUAGGGUCUCGAACCGGAUUAGAUACCCGGGUAGUCCUGGCGGUAAACGAUGCCGGCUAGGAGUGGGGCGGG